UACGUAGGGGGCGAGCGUUGUCCGGAUUUACUGGGCGUAAAGAGCGUGUAGGCGGCCACGCAGGUCCGUUGUGAAAACUGGAGGCUCAACCUCCAGCUGUCGACGGAAACCGUAUGGCUAGAGUCCGGAAGAGGAGAGUGGAAUUCCUGGUGUAGCGGUGAAAUGCGCAGAUAUCAGGAAGAACACCAAUGGCGAAGGCAGCUCUCUGGGACGGUACUGACGCUGAGACGCGAAAGCGUGGGGAGCGAACAGG
rnacentral:rRNA from 1 species